UUGACAUGCCAAGGCUGAAGGGACUCAACAACACAAUCAGUUUGUAUCUCACUUCAACUAGUCAUUCUCUCACUCUCUUAAGUACCUUUUCCAUUGGUGGUGGCUAUAUCGUGCUGGAAAUCGCCUAUGGUGGCGGCGAAGGUUAGAACCCGUCAAGCUUCACAUCCACAAAACCGUUUUUUCACCCUCUAUCGUAAUAUCCAAAUUGUGUUCUUCCAAUUCACAAUCAAACACCCAAACCGAAACCAAAUGUGCAUGAACCCAAUUCAAGAAUCAUAAUUAAACCCUGUAGUGAAGCUACAAGGAGUCCAAACCUUAUGGGUUUGGCUCCUAGAAGGGGAAUUUACAUCUUAGCAGUAGAGAUUGCGAAAGAAGUGAAUGAAAUCGAAUGUGACACCUACCUUUAAGGUGAAGGUGACCUUAGCACGAGGAGAGUAAAGAUGGGGCAAGAAAAUACCAGAGCAAUAAACAGUAUGCACAAUAUAACUUUCCAUGCAAAGAUGAUCAAGAUGUGGAAUCAAAUCAUGGAACUAGGUAAUGCCAAAUAGCAAGAUGAAAUGACUCAUGCAUGAAAGAGAAAAAGGAGAAUCAGGAUUUCUUAGAAUAGUCAGUUAACUUUGGUCAACUAUUUGGCCUAAAAGUCAAUAGUUGACCAAAAGUUAACCCUAGGUUAACACAUGUAAAUUUGCAUAGAAUUAUUGUACUUUGGAUUUGUGAUAUGAGUUGAGAUGUUUUUGUAAUGAGAAUGGUCCAUUCUUUGAAAUGGAUGAACAUAUGUAACUUGUAAAAAAAACAUAGUUUUCCCUUCAAAACUUAAAUUUGAAAAUUUGAAAUGUA